UACGUAGGGUGCAAGCGUUGUCCGGAAUUAUUGGGCGUAAAGAGCUCGUAGGCGGUUUGUCGCGUCUGCUGUGAAAACCCGAGGCUCAACCUCGGGCCUGCAGUGGGUACGGGCAGACUAGAGUGCGGUAGGGGAGAUUGGAAUUCCUGGUGUAGCGGUGGAAUGCGCAGAUAUCAGGAGGAACACCAAUGGCGAAGGCAGAUCCCUGGGCCGUAACUGACGCUGAGGAGCGAAAGCAUGGGGAGCGAACAGG
rnacentral:rRNA from 1 species